UAGGGAAUCUUCGGCAAUGGGGGCAACCCUGACCGAGCAACGCCGCGUGAGUGAAGAAGGUUUUCGGAUCGUAAAGCUCUGUUGUAAGAGAAGAACGUGUGUGAGAGUGGAAAGUUCACACAGUGACGGUAACUUACCAGAAAGGGACGGCUAACUACGUGCCAGCAGCCGCGGUAAUACGUAGGUCCCGAGCGUUGUCCGGAUUUAUUGGGGGUAAAGCGAGCGCAGGCGGUUUAAUAAGUCUGAAGUUAAAGGCAGUGGCUUAACCAUUGUUUGCUUUGGAAACUGUUAAACUUGAGUGCAGAAGGGGAGAGUGGAAUUCCAUGUGUAGCGGUGAAAUGCGUAGAUAUAUGGAGGAACACCGGUGGCGAAAGCGGCUCUCUGGUCUGUAACUGACGCUGAGGCUCGAAAGCGUGGGGAGCAAACAGG
rnacentral:rRNA from 1 species